rnacentral:tRNA from 1 species
GGCGAUUUAGCUCAGUUGGUUAGAGCGUGUGCUUAACACUAGGACUGUUCAACAGUCAAGCGUUGCGCACAAGGUCGGCGGUUCGACCCCGUCAAACGUCA